GCAGAGGGCAGUGUCCUUUAUGCAGGAGUUUAAGAGGGAGUGAAGGAAUGAAUGGGCAAACUCUAGAGUUCCCAAGUAUUCUCUCCAGGAGACGUUUCCAUUCUCCUCAUUUCCAGCAGGGGGAAGAAAAUGAAAACGUUGCUUUGGGAUUUGGGAACAUCCACACUCAUGUCUACAUUCCCAGUGAGGUGCUCAGACGUGGCCUUCGCAAAAGGGGUUGCCAAGCAGCAAGGCUCCUUGGGCAGGAGGAGGCUGGCAGAGCACUCCAACAUUCAUCGGUCGAUACCUCUCCUUUCACAGCUGAUGCAAUGGGAGAGGCUGGCAGAGGGGAGGUGCCAGCACCACACAGUGAGUUUAAGGAUAGGGUCAGGCCGGAAACCCAAGUCCAAACUCCCAGGCUGGUGCUUGCUUUGCAAAACCAUGCAUAGGGUCCUUUGUGUUCAGGGCCACAGAGCCAAACUCUGCAGACAUCAUCUCUUAGAUUCCUCAGCCUUCUAAGGUAGUUUGUUAUAACCCCAGAGUCCUCAUUCCUGACCUCUUAUUUCUGCAGCCUAUGCCAUACCUCACCCUUUCCAUAUUGCCUACAAAAAAUUUGGGG